rnacentral:rRNA from 1 species
UUCCGUAGGUGAACUGCGGAAGGAUCAUUGUCGAAACCUGCAAAGCAGACAGCGAACACGUUCAUAACAACCCCGGGGCCACGGGCCGGGGGGGUCAACCCCCCGCCCGAGGCGCCGAAUCCCGCCGGCGUGCGCGCUCGCGCUCGUGCCGUGCGGGCUAACGAACUCGGGCGCGGUAUGCGCCAAGGAAAACACAAUGGAGCGUUCCCCUCCCCUCCUCGGCCCGUUCGCGGGGCGACGGGGAGCGGGGGACGCCCUAUCGAUUGUCUAAACGACUCUCGGCAACGGAUAUCUCGGCUCUCGCAUCGAUGAAGAACGUAGCGAAAUGCGAUACUUGGUGUGAAUUGCAGAWUCCCKUGAACCAUGGAGUCUUUGAACGCAAGUUGCGCCCGAGGCCAUUAGGCSGAGGGMACGUYUGCYUGGGCGUMASGCAUSGCKUSGCCCCCUUCCCCCGCGGGKUGGGGGGGCGGAGAUUGGCCCCCCGCGCGCGCACGUCCGCGCGCGGCCGGCCCAAAUGCCAAUCCGCCGUCGACUCACGUCGCGACCAGUGGUGGUUGAACUAUCAACUCGCGUGCUGUCGCGCUCCACGGCGUCGUCGGUCCGGAAACAGCAACGCAACCCAACGGCGCGAGCACGCAUCGUGCCCACGACCGCGACCCCAGGUCAGGCGGGAUCACCCGCUGA